UUUUUAGAGAGUUUGAUCCUGGCUCAGGAUGAACGCUGGCGGCGUGGAUAAGGCAUGCAAGUCGAACGAAUCAAAUUUUAAGAUUAUAUCAAGAGAUUUGGUUAGUGGCAGACGGGGUAGUAACACGUAAGUACUUACCUUGAAGUCGGGUACAACUCCGCGAAAGCGGAGCUAAUUCCCGAUAGUUCCCGUAAGGGUAAAGGAGCAAUCCGCUUCAAGAAAGGCUUGCGAGCUAUCAGCUUGUUGGCGGGGUAAAAGCCCACCAAGGCUAUGACGGCUAGGGGGAGUGAGAGCUCGCCCCCCACCAAUGGCACUGCGAUACGGGCCAUACACCUACGGGUGGCAGCAGCCGAGAAUAUUCCACAAUGGGCGAAAGCCUGAUGGAGCGACGCCGCGUGCAGGAAGAAGUCCUUCGGGACGUAAACUGCUUUUAUAGGGGAAGAAUCCCCCACCUUUGCAGUUUCAGUUGUGAUAUAGUCAAACUAUGUAUUUUGUCUAUGUUCUUAAAAUGAGCAAUGGGCAACUUUAUGUUGGUUAUACCAAUAAUCUGAAACGCAGAUUAAAUCAACAUCAAAACGGCGAGAGCGCUUUUACAAAAAAGUAUUUGCCGAUUGAAUUGGUUUAUUGUGAAGUUUAUAAAUCUAGCCUCGACGCAUUAGAGCGUGAGCGAAAACUUAAACAGCACAAAAAAGGAUUCGCGCAACUUCGCAAUAGAAUCAAAAGAAGCGCGAACUAAACUGCAAAGGUGGGGGAUGACGGUACCCUAUGAAUAAGGGCUUGCUAACCUCGUGCCAGCAGCCGCGGUAAUACGAGGAGCCCAAGCGUUAUCCGGAUUUACUGGGCGUAAAGGGUGUGUAGGGGGCUUUGUUAGUCCUGUUUUAAAAUCCCGCGCUCAACGCGGGAACUGGACAGGAAACGGCAAAGCUCGGAGGGCGCGAGAGGCUGACGGAACUCUGGGUGUAGGAGUGAAAUCCAUUGAUAUCCAGGGGAACACCAAAGGCGAAGGCAGUCAGCUGGCGCGUUCCUGACCCUGAAACACGAAAGCGUGGGUUUCGAAAAGGAUUAGAUACCCUUGUAGUCCACGCCCUAAACGAUGAUGGUUAGGUAUUCGAAGUAUCGACCCUUUGAGUGCCGAAGCUAACGCGUUAAACCAUCCGCCUGGGGAGUACGGCCGCAAGGCUAAAACUCAAAGGAAUAGACGGGGACUCGCACAAGCGGUGGAGCAUGUGGUUCAAUUCGACGGUAACCGAAAAACCUUACCAGGGCUUGAAAUCCAGACGACGAUUUUUCGAAAGGAAAGUUUUCUCACAAGGACGGCUGGACAGGUGCUGCAUGGCUGUCGUCAGCUCGUGGCUUGAGUUGUUCCCUUCAGUGGGAUAACGAGCGCAACCCCCAUUGCCUGUUAUAUAUGUCAGGCGAGACUGCCCAGCCCUUGUUUUUUCAAAAAUUGGAAGGACAAGGGCUGGGAGGAAGGUGGGGAUGACGCCAAGUCAGCAUGGCCCUCUGAUGCCCUGGGCUACACACGUGCUACAAUGGCCGGUACAAUGGGUCGCCAAGCCGUAAGGCGGAGCUAAUCCCAUCAAAGCCGGCCUCAGUUCGGAUCGAGGUCUGCAACUUGACCUCGUGAAGCCGGAAUCGCUAGUAAUCGCGGAUCAGCAUGCCGCGGUGAAUACGUUCUCGAGUCUUGUACUCACCGCCCGUCAAGUCAAGGGAGCCGGGAGCACCCAAAACCGAGCACAUAGCUGCGGAAAAUAUUCGGCAGUUAUGUGCUCGGCUAAGGUGAGCUCGGUGACAGGGACUAAGUCGUAACAAGGCACGGCUAGCGGAAGCUGGUCGUGGAUUAUUUACUAC
rfam:Candidatus Niyogibacteria bacterium RIFCSPLOWO2_01_FTLL_45_48 rifcsplowo2_01_scaffold_39079, whole genome shotgun sequence.